GACGAACGCUGGCGGCGUGCUUAACACAUGCAAGUCGAACGGAAAGGCCCUGCUUUUGUGGGGUGCUCGAGUGGCGAACGGGUGAGUAACACGUAAGUAACCUGCCCUUGACUUUGGGAUAACUUCAGGAAACUGGGGCUAAUACCGGAUAGGAGCUCCUGCUGCAUGGUGGGGGUUGGAAAGUUUCGGCGGUUGGGGAUGGACUCGCGGCUUAUCAGCUUGUUGGUGGGGUAGUGGCUUACCAAGGCUUUGACGGGUAGCCGGCCUGAGAGGGUGACCGGCCACAUUGGGACUGAGAUACGGCCCAGACUCCUACGGGAGGCAGCAGUGGGGAAUAUUGCACAAUGGGCGGAAGCCUGAUGCAGGAACGCCGCGUGCGGGAUGACGGCCUUCGGGUUGUAAACCGCUUUCGCCUGUGACGAAGCGUGAGUGACGGUAAUGGGUAAAGAAGCACCGGCUAACUACGUG
rnacentral:rRNA from 1 species